UACGUAGGGUGCGAGCGUUAAUCGGAAUUACUGGGCGUAAAGCGUGCGCAGGCGGUUCGUUAAGUCAGCUGUGAAAGCCCCCGGGCUCAACCUGGGAAUUGCGGUUGAAACUGGCGAACUAGAAUCUGGCAGAGGGGGGGUGGAAUUCCACGUGUAGCAGUGAAAUGCGUAGAGAUGUGGAGGAACACCGAUGGCGAAGGCAGCCCCCCUGGGCUAAGAUUGACGCUCAGGCACGAAAGCGUGGGGAGCAAACAGG
rnacentral:rRNA from 1 species